CGCCGAGGCCUCCCGCAGCUCCGCGGUGACACCCGGGUCAGGGGCGCGGGGCCGGGCGCCGGGGAUUGUGGGAGGCGCGGGGGGGCGCGCCGGCCGCCUUCGGAGCCCCCCAACUCGCGUCCUGCAAAGGCCGCCGGGCCCUGUCGAGAAGACCCGACCGCAGAUGGCGGGGAGGAUGCUCCCGGCGGCGUGGGAACCGGGUCUGACUCCCGAGCCACCGCCGCUUCCGCAGGGGCGCCGGCCCCGGGAAAGUCAAGUCAUAAAUCCCUGAAUCUAAAACUCCAUUCUCAGAGAAAAGGCCUCCAAGGACGGGCGCCGUGCGCGGCAACUGCCUGCAGUUUUGAAGCCCUUUGACUAUUUCAUAACAAAGACAAGGCCGGGCGGCUUGGACGCUUAGGAAAAUCCUGGGGCUUUGCAAAAACAACAGGUUAAUCUAGUCGUGUGGGAUGAUCACCAAAACAAGACAGGAAAGAAGAACACCGUGUCAAUGCUGAAAAGCCAGCCCCUAACACAGGGCUUCUACUCCAGGGUUUCCUCGCCAGGGAACCCCAAACACACAGGACCUGGAGAAGCCGGGUAGAGCUGGCUCCUGGCCCUGCGCUUGGGUGGUCGGCUGCCUUAAGAAGAACUGCACCCCAGAGACAGGCUCGCAGCUGCCGACCUUAUCCACUCGCCCUUUCUGCUGGAGCCCAGGCCCAGUGCUCCAGCAAGGAGGCUGAGAAAAUGCUGAAGACUGAUGCCCACGGGGGACAGCUUGGGCUAAGGAUAACGUUUGCAAAACAAACCUUUAAAAACCCAUAGCAACCUGUUUCCUAGAGCACACUCUUCAUCUCUCCACCCCCAAACUAGUCCCGACUCGGAUCCUCCUUUUCCUAUCCUCUUUCUCUUGCUCUCCCGUCUCCUAUUCACUUUUCUUCUCCUUUCCUCUUGAUUAUUAUAAACAAAUGCUUUCCAAGUCUUACCGCCAUCAUAUGUGUACAUAUGCAACCCUUACUGUUACCAAUUUGUUGAAGUCAAGACAGGAGGAGGCAAAGUUUAAAAAUCAGAAGUAUUGCAGGAAAUGAAAAUGGAGUGAGUGUUGCCUGGGUAUCAUAAUUUUUUUUUUUUUUUUAACAGUUCCUCUACUUGGCUCUCCUCCAAAGGUACGCGGCCACAGCAGGCAGGGGCUUGGCAGUGUGGGAGGAGACACCACAGAAGACAGGGAAGAACUACCAGGCCUUGGUUCAUCUCCACACUGGCGAGAGAGGACGUGCAGUUACCUGCUACCUGUUCGACUCAGUCUUUUACGUUGGAGUAACUUAACACAUUGCUGCCCUUAACUUUGACUUACUUGCUUUUAAAGAUGAUGAAGCUGGCCAGGCGCCGUGACUCAUACCUAUAAUCCCAGCAUUUUGGGAGGCCCAGGCAGGUGGAUCACGAGGUCAGCAGUUCAAGACCAGCCUGGCCAACAUGGUGAAACCCUGUCUCUACCAAAAAUACAAAAAUUAGCUGGGCGUGGUGGCGCGUGCCUAUAAUCCCAGCUACUCAGGAGGCUGAGGCAGGAGAAUCACUUGAACCCGGGAGGCAGAGGUUGCAGGGAGCCGAGAUCGCACCACUGCACUCCAGCCUGGGCAAUAGAGCAAGUCUCCAUCUAGGGAACAACAACAACAAAAAGAUUAUGAAGCCUUAGGAAGAACAGGGAUAUUCACCUGCUGCUGAGCCCCCCUCCGCUUUGAUCUUGUGAGUCUGCACUCUCCUGCUCCCCUGUCUCAGUCUCCUCUAGCUCCUGUUCCUUCUCCUACCUUGUGUUCUCUGCCAAUGAUAUGACUGGGGCUACUUUCUUUUUUCCUUCUCACACUCUCUUCUUGCUAAUUUCAACCAAUUUCCCUGCAUCAUCUCCACCUGCAAGCUGGUCCUUUACAGCAGAGCUUGGGGCCCUGCUGCCCAGUAGCACUCUGGACACCCUCACAUCAUCAUCAUCAUCCUAUUUUUAUUUAUUUUUUGGAAACAGGGUCUUGCUCUGUCGCCCACACUGGAGUGUAGUAGUGCAGUAGUGCGAUCA
rnacentral:lncRNA from 10 species